AUGAAACACAUAGAAACAACGCAUUUGGAGUGUCUUUUAGGUUUAGAAUGUUAUGUUCGUUCAACUCCUUUGAGCCAACUUCUUCUUUGUUCAACAAUGACGCAACCAAAACUCACCGUUUCCAUCCAUCUUCCCCACCGAGACCAUCGACUAACACCACAAACAGCCCUCCUUCGGCCUCAUCUUUUUAAAUCUCAACUUUGCUUGUAUCAAGUCUAA